rnacentral:rRNA from 1 species
GGGAGUGAAAUAGUACCUGAAACCGUUUGCCUACAAGCAGUCGGAGCGGCGCUUGCGCCGUGACGGCGUGCCUUUUGUAGAAUGAGCCAGCGAGUUACGGCGCGUGGCGAGGUUAAGCCACGAAGCGAGCCGCAGCGAAAGCGAGUCCGAAACGGGCGAGCAGUCGCGCGCCGUAGACGCGAAGCCGGGUGAGCUAUCCAUGGGCAGGCUGAAGCGGGGGUAAGACCCCGUGGAGGGCCGAACCCACCUAGGU